GCCAGGUGUGGUGGUCCACACCUGUAGUCUCAGCUACUUAAGAGGCUGAGAUAGAAGGAUCACUUGAGCCCAGGAGUUUGAGGCUGCAGUGAGCUAUGAUUGUGCCACUGCACUCCAGCCUCAGUGACAGAGUGAGACUCUAUCUAUU
rnacentral:SRP_RNA from 1 species